GCGGGCGUGGCGGAAUUGGUAGACGCAAGGGACUUAAAAUCCCUCGGCCGUAAGGCCUUGCCGGUUCGAUCCCGGCCGCCCGCACCA
rnacentral:tRNA from 2 species